GCCGUGAGGUGUCGGGUUAAGUCCCAUAACGAGCGCAACCCCUAUUGAUAGUUGCCAGCGGGUAAUGCCGGGAACUCUAUCGAAACUGCCGGUGUAAACCGUGAGGAAGGUGGGGAUGACGUCAAAUCAGCACGGCCCUUAUGUCCAGGGCUACACACGUGUUACAAUGGCCGGUACAAAGGGCAGCUAUGCCGCGAGGCAAUGCUAAUCUCGAAAACCGGUCUCAGUUCGGAUCGAAGUCUGCAACUCGACUUCGUGAAGCUGGAUUCGCUA
rnacentral:rRNA from 1 species